AAUAGAUACCCUGGUAGUCCACGCCGUAAACGAUGAGUGCUAAGUGUUAGAGGGUUUCCGCCCUUUAGUGCUGCAGCUAACGCAUUAAGCACUCCGCCUGGGGAGUACGGUCGCAAGACUGAAACUCAAAGGAAUUGACGGGGGCCCGCACAAGCGGUGGAGCAUGUGGUUUAAUUCGAAGCAACGCGAAGAACCUUACCAGGUCUUGACAUCCUCUGACAACUCUAGAGAUAGAGCGUUCCCCUUCGGGGGACAGAGUGACAGGUGGUGCAUGGUUGUCGUCAGCUCGUGUCGUGAGAUGUUGGGUUAAGUCCCGCAACGAGCGCAACCCUUGAUCUUAGUUGCCAGCAUUCAGUUGGGCACUCUAAGGUGACUGCCGGUGACAAACCGGAGGAAGGUGGGGAGUGACGUCAAAUCAUCAUGCCCCUUAUGACCUGGGCUACACACGUGCUACAAUGGAUGGUACAAAGGGCUGCAAGACCGCGAGGUCAAGCCAAUCCCAUAAAACCAUUCUCAGUUCGGAUUGU
rnacentral:rRNA from 1 species